AACGCACUCCGUCAUCGCAACAGAGGUGACCGCAGCCGCACCCUCUCCCUCGCGGCGCGCACUGUACGUACACUUGCCCUUGCUCUGGGGUGCGCGCAUCUGCAAGACAUCGGCGCAGAAAGAGUCGUUCUUGCUCUUCUGCUCUCAUAGAGCUGCCAUCUCCCAGACUAUCUACGCGCCGCACGAUAAGACUGUUUUGCGUGAUAGCUAAGUCACUUCUGUUUCGUUGCGAUGUCGCUGCCAGAAUUUACACACGCCUUCAAUGUGUACGAGGCCCAGGCGGUCGUGCGCGCGCUCCAGGCCGGCAGCGCGAACGGGGUGUACCUGCUGGAUGUACGUGAGGAAUUCGAGGUGCAGGCCGUGCGGCCGCUUCCACACGCGCUAGUGAUCUACUUUCGCGACUUCUACGACGCUAUGCAGAUGCGGGAGUCGGCCUUUCAGAGAAAGUACGGCGUGCGUAAGCCACACAAGAAAGACCGCAUUCUCGUGUACGCCUUAAAUCAGGUCCGGGCCUCCUCGGCCGCUACCUACCUAGCGGCGCGCGGCUACAAGUCCGUUGUCUUCCUGGACGCCAAGAUGUCAGAAUACCUCGACUCAACACAGAACAAGCUGGAUGAGGACCUUUAGUAAUGCGACCGCAGUCGCGCUCUUCGUUGACGAGUCGAACGCGCACUUGCAAUGGCCAUGGCGGGGGAGGGAGGGCUCGUUCUCGCGCGAUUGAGGGAAGAGAGCUCGUGAGCGCUGUAGCGCUGCGCCUCUUCUCUCAAGCUCACACUCCGGCCUGCCCGUGCUCUCACACAUGUGCAAAACCGCAGUGACGCUGAGUGGCGCUGCCGCUGCUCUUGGGCUUUGCCGUCAGCCUCACCUUUCCCUCAUUGUUCUCCCCUGCGUGUGUUUGCUCGCUUCCUCUUUGGUGGCGCGCGCGCCGCAGGCGGUGCCACUCCACUGAAUACCAAAGAC
rnacentral:misc_RNA from 1 species